rnacentral:rRNA from 1 species
AACGAACGCUGGCGGCAGGCUUAACACAUGCAAGUCGAGCGCCUCGCAAGAGGAGCGGCAGACGGGUGAGUAACGCGUGGGAACGUACCCUUAUCUUCGGAAUAGCUCUGGGAAACUGGAAGUAAUACCGAAUGUGCCCUUAGGGGGAAAGAUUUAUCGGAUAAGGAUCGGCCCGCGUUGGAUUAGCUAGUUGGUGGGGUAAAGGCCUACCAAGGCGACGAUCCAUAGCUGGUCUGAGAGGAUGAUCAGCCACAUUGGGACUGAGACACGGCCCAAACUCCUACGGGAGGCAGCAGUGGGGAAUAUUGGACGAUGGGCGCAAGCCUGAUCCAGCCAUGCCGCGUGAGUGAUGAAGGCCUUAGGGUUGUAAAGCUCUUUCACCGGAGAAGAUAAUGACGGUAUCCGGAGAAGAAGCCCCGGCUAACUUCGUG